UGGCUACAGGACGAACGCUGGCGGCAUGCCUAACACAUGCAAGUCGAACGGGGGUAGCAAUACCCCUAGUGGCGAACGGGUGAGUAACACAUAAGCAAUCUGCCCUUCACAGGGGGAUAACAGCGGGAAACUGCUGCUAAUACCGCAUAAGACCACAGUACCGCAUGGUACAGGGGUAAAAACGAAUCAGUGGUGAAGGAUGAGCUUAUGUCCCAUUAGCUAGUUGGUGAGAUAACAGCCCACCAAGGCGACGAUGGGUAGCCGACCUGAGAGGGUGAUCGGCCACACUGGAACUGAGACACGGUCCAGACUCCUACGGGAGGCAGCAGUGGGGAAUAUUGGGCAAUGGAGGAACUCCUUACCCAGCAAUGCCGCGUGAGUGAAGAAGGUCUUCGGAUUGUAAAGCUCUUUGAUUGGGGACGAAGAAAGUGACGGUACCCAAAGAACAAGCCCCGGCUAACUACGUGCCAGCAGCAGC
rnacentral:rRNA from 1 species